rnacentral:rRNA from 1 species
UACGUAUGGGGCAAGCGUUAUCCGGAUUUACUGGGUGUAAAGGGAGCGUAGGCGGCCUGGCAAGCCUGAUGUGAAAUACCGGGGCCCAACCCCGGGGCUGCAUUGGGAACUGCCAGGCUGGAGUGCCGGAGAGGCAGGCGGAAUUCCUAGUGUAGCGGUGAAAUGCGUAGAUAUUAGGAGGAACACCAGUGGCGAAGGCGGCCUGCUGGACGGGGACUGACGCUGAGGCUCGAAAGCGUGGGGAGCAAACAGG